AUGUAGCCUAAAUUUGCGUUAGGGAUUGAUGCGGCAUCCUUUUUUUGUGCUAAAAAGACCUACAAGUUUGUUGUGAAGCCUUUUAUUUGAUGUAAAAAAAUAGUGAUAGUUUAUGAUACGGAAUUGCACAAAUAAAGAUAUAGCGGAAAGCCCGACCCUUG
rfam:Algibacter lectus DNA, contig: contig00001, strain: JCM 19300.